rnacentral:rRNA from 1 species
GUGGGGAAUAUUUCGCAAUGGGCGGAAGCCUGACGAAGCAACGCCGCGUGGAGGAUGAAGGCCCUAGCGGUCUUAAACUCCUGUCUAGUGGGAAGAAAGGCCUGCGGGCGAAUAGUCUGCGGGUUUGACGGUACCGCUGGAGGAAGCUCCGGCCAACUCCGUGCCAGCAGCCGCGGUAAUACGGAGGGAGCAAGCGUUACUCGGAAUUACUGGGCGUAAAGGGCGCGUAGGCGGUUCUGUAAGUCCUGUGUGAAAUCCCCGGGCUUAACCCGGGAAGUGCACGGGAGACUGUGGGACUUGAGUGCAGGAGAGGAAGGCAGAAUUCCCGGUGUAGCGGUGAAAUGCGUAGAUAUCGGGAGGAAUACCAGCGGCGAAGGCGGCCUUCUGGACUGUUUCUGACGCUGAUGCGCGAAAGCCAGGGGAGCAAACGGGAUUAGAAACCCGUGUAGUCC